rnacentral:rRNA from 1 species
CGCCAGACUCCUACGGGAGGCAGCAGUGGGGAAUAUUGCACAAUGGGGGAAACCCUGAUGCAGCGACGCCGCGUGAGUGAAGAAGUAUUUCGGUAUGUAAAGCUCUCUCAGCAGGAAAGAAAAUGACGGUACCUGACUAAGAAGCCCCGGCUAACUACGUGCCAGCAGCCGCGGUAAUACGUAGGGGGCAAGCGUUAUCCGGAUUUACUGGGUGUAAAGGGAGCGUAGGCGGUUAGAUAAGUCUGAUGUGAAAGCCCACAGCUUAACUGUGGGAUUGCAUUGGAAACUAUAGAACUAGAGUGUCGGAGAGGUAAGUGGAAUUCCUAGUGUAGCGGUGAAAUGCGUAGAUAUACGGAGGAACACCAGUGGCGAAGGCGGAUUGCUGGACAGUAACUGACGCUGAGGCGCGAAAGCGUGGGGAGCAAACAGGAUUAGAUACCCUGGUAC